UGAGGAAUAUUGGUCAAUGGGCGCAAGCCUGAACCAGCCAUCCCGCGUGCAGGAUGACGGCCCUAUGGGUUGUAAACUGCUUUUGUACAGGAAGAAAAAUCCCUACGUGUAGGGACCUGCCGGUACUGUACGAAUAAGCAUCGGCUAACUCCGUGCCAGCAGCCGCGGUAAUACGGAGGAUGCAAGCGUUAUCCGGAUUCAUUGGGUUUAAAGGGUGCGUAGGCGGCUCUUUAAGUCAGUGGUUAAAUCCUGUCGCUCAACGAUAGAAUUGCCAUUGAUACUGAAGAGCUUGAGUACAAUUGAGGUAAGCGGAAUGUGUAGUGUAGCGGUGAAAUGCUUAGAUAUUACACAGAACACCAAUUGCGAAGGCAGCUUACUAAACUGUCACUGACGCUGAUGCACGAAAGCGUGGGGAGCGAACA
rnacentral:rRNA from 1 species